rnacentral:lncRNA from 1 species
GAGAAAACCAAAGUGAUUGUUGUGACAAGAAGGUAUAGUACACGCUCCAUGAUGGAGGAGGUUUAUCAGGAUGGAAAAGAUGGAAAUAGAGGGUUGAGACAAUUUGACAGAAGUCAACUACAGGAAUAAAACCAGACCACAUGGUAGGAGAAGAUAAUUUGUAGAAGAUUGCUGAUUCAGAGACUCAACUUAGAGUCAGGGACUUCAUGUCUUAUACACAGGGUAUAUUUACAAACCUAGCGGCCAUCAAGCAAAGGAAUAUUCUCUGAGAAACAUCUGCCCUCAUCCAAUGAGUAAGCAACUAACGCUGCUUUCUCAGUAAGAGAGGUUAAGCUUCCUUCUAGUCGAUCCUAAAAAGGCACAGCUGAGGAGUUAGGAUGUCUUUCAAACUCUUACGUGAGCUUGGAUAUGGUUGGUUCACAGGAGCUCUUCUAUAUAGAUGACUUCAGC